UAGGGAAUCUUCCACAAUGGACGCAAGUCUGAUGGAGCAACGCCGCGUGAGUGAAGAAGGUCUUCGGAUCGUAAAACUCUGUUGUUAGAGAAGAACACGAGUGAGAGUAACUGUUCAUUCGGUGACGGUAUCUAACCAGCAAGUCACGGCUAACUACGUGUCAG
rnacentral:rRNA from 1 species